GGCGAACAGCUGACCCGGGGAAGCUAGUUCUCGUCCUGUUUCCGUAGUGUAGUGGUUAUCACGUUCGCCUCACACGCGAAAGGUCCCCGGUUCGAAACCGGGCGGAAACAUGAGUUUUUUUCCCCCCCAUUAUGUCCCUUAAAAUUUUAUUUUUAAAAAUUUUCACGCCUUCAUAAAUACAUUCUUCUCUUUUCCUUAUGUUGCUCGCCCAGGGCCGUGGUGCUGAGGCGACGCUGCUCAAGGUGGAUCCGGAGCCCCGCGGCUUCGGAAGCUGAGACACCUAUCGCGAGGGGAGAACCUGGCGCUCCCCCGCUCCGACGCAAGGCGACCCGCCGCCGCAGCCCCGGAAGCGCAUCCUCGGCUUCGCGGGCCUUCCUGUUCCCAGCAGCGCCCGGCUCCGGGCGUUUCUUCGCUCUCCCACGGUCCGCGCCCGCCCUGCCCCAGCCGAGGGCACCCGCGCGGCCAGGGCCGCAGCUGGGAGCCCCGCGCCUCUCGGACGGCCGCGCGACUCGGUGACCACCUCGGAGGCCUCAGUCUCGAGAAAAGUCACUGGAAGCACCAGUUUAAAAUCAAGCCUUGCGCCCUGGUGUGUGGCCUAUAACCUCCAUCUGACAUAUAACCUGCUUCCAUGUUAAGUGGAUCAAUCACACGCUUUUCUGGGAAAGCAGUCUCGAUAUUCCACCUAACAUCCUCAGAAAUCUUUCUAGGAGCAGUGUGAGGAGGACAGACGAGCCCUCUGGACUGGCAAGGCCACCGGCCAAGUACUGCUGCCACCAUGCCCAAGAGAAAGGCAAAAGGAGAUGCUAAAGGUGACAAAGCAAAGGUGAAGGAUGAGCCACAGAGGAGAUCAGCACGGUUGUCCGCUAAACCUGCCCCCCCAAAACCAGAGCCCAGGCCUAAAAAGGCCCCUGCAAAGAAGGGAGAGAAGCUACCCAAAGGGAGAAAGGGGAAAGCAGAUAGUGGCAAGGAUGGGAACAACCCUGCGAAAAACCGAGAUGCCACCACAGUCCAGUCACAGAAAGCGGAAGGCAGCGGGGAUGCCAAGUGAAGUGUGCUAUUUUGAUAGCUCUGUACUUGUAGUGACUCUGCUGUUUGAAAUACUGUUUUUUUUUAAAUCAACUUUUAUAAAAAUGUAGAAUUUUGUUUUUCUUUUUAAGUUAUAUUGUUAGCACACAGGACACUUUGUUGUCUUUUGUGGAAAGGGCAAAUACCACUAACAGAGUGUUUCAGAAGCUGGAUUAAAAUGGAGGAAAAUAGUAUUUUCUGUCCUCAUUUUUGAAGAUUAUUCUUGGUCCCUGGGAGAGAUUCUCUGACAUUCACACACGAGUCAGUCACUUUGGCUCAGACGCCUUACAGUGUGUGGAAGCAAAACUUCAUGUCUUUGCCUUUCCUGAUACCAUCAGCAUAUAUUUGACUUUCUGAACCCAAGAGUUAUGGUUUCAGAAAACCAGCAUCCCUAAAAUCAGCUGUGUUGGGUAAUAAUCCUCAGGCCUUCUGAUGAAGACAUCGACAUGGUGUUGCUCAAAAGAGCCAAGAUUCCUGUUUGCAAUUUGUGGAUCAUCCCAUUGAUAAUCCUGGAGUUUGUAGUUUUCUCCAAGUCAGAAAUGACCUGUGAAAAGCUCUUACAUGCCUCAUGUGAAAUAUCCACCCCUUCUGACAACUUUGCCUGUUCAAAGCAGGAACAGAAGACUUUGUUGACUUUUUGGGGAGGGGUGUUUGGAAGUUGUAAAAUGUUAUGGAUUGUCACCUAUGUCCUGCUGGAAAUAACUGUUUUUGAAAAGUAUCUUAUGGAGCUGUAUACAAGUUGGCUUGGUGGUAGGGGGGUAUCAUUUCCUACCCAAAGUCAUAAAGAUAUUCUUUACUGCCUUGUAAAAGUUUUACAGUUUUGCUUUUCAUACGUCUUUAGUCUUUAGAACUGGUUUUUGUGAAAAGUAUGAGAUAGAAGUUCAAUAUAAUAUAUUUUCCAUAUAGAUAAGUGGUUGUUGCAGCACCAUUUUCUGAAAAGUUCAUCCUUUCCUCACUGACCUGUAACACUGUCUCUUUCAUAAAUCAAGUUUGUGUGUUUGUGUGGGUCUCUUGAUGGUUUCUGUUCUGACUCACUGGUCAAUUUGUCUAACCUGUGGCAGUACUAUACAAUCGUGAGUAUGACAACUUUAGAAAAAGGUCUUGAUAUCUCAGGACAAAUCCCACCUCCACCUCCAACAUCAUCACCAAAUUUUUCUUCCUUGAGAGUAUCUUGGCUAUUUUUAGCCAUUUGCUUUUCCAUACAAUUUCUAGAAUUAGAUUGAGAAGUUCUAAAUCAAACAAAAAAAAAUGUUGGAAUUUUUAUUAGAUUUAUGGAUUAAUUACAGUGUUGAAUCUUCCAAUCCAUGAACAUGGUAUAGCAUUUAUUUAGGCUUUUUAAAUGUCUUUCAAUAAAGUUUUAUAAUUUUCUCCAUAAAUGUCUUCUUUUGUUAAUAUUUCCUGGGGACUUUAUACCUUUUGAUGCUCUUUUAUGUGGUAUAUUUUAGUUACUACAUUUUCUGGUUUUAGCUAAAGUUGAUUUUUGUAUCCAGCAACCUUGCUAAAUUCUCAAUUCUUAUAUGUCUGUAUACUUCUUUGGGUUUUCUGCCUAGAUAACCAUAUAUUCUGUGUAUGCAAACAAUUUUUUUUCCUCACAGUCCUUAUGUGUCCUUUUCCUUUUUCUAAAGUGAGGCAUUGUCCAAGUGCUGAGGGUACAGCAGUGAACAAAACAGUCUCUGUUUUCACAAAGCUUAUCUUCUAGUUGGGGGAGGGUAGAAAACACACAAGUUUAUGUGACAAGGGGCCUUAAGUAAACAAGUGUAAGUGAGUGCUAUUUAAAUAGGGUAGUUAAGAAAGUCCUCUCUGAUGAGAUUUGAGCAGAACACUUAAUGAAGUAAAAGAAAAAGAGAUGUGAAUAUGAGAGGAAAGCAUUCCAGCAAAGGGAAUAGCAAAUGCAAAGAGAUGAGGUGAAAAUGUGUUUGGCACUCAGAGGAAGAAUGAGCAGAUGUGGCUGAAUUGGAGUGAUGGUAAGUAAGAGUGAUAGCUGAUAGCUCCAGGCUGUAAUUUUUCUCUGAAAGUGAUGGGAUACCAUUAGAGUUUUGAACAGAGAAAUGAUGCAAUCUAAGUUAGUGUAUGUGUUUGGCUGAUGAAAUGAGCAACACGCUGAAAGUGGAGAAGAAUUGAAGGAGGAAGAC
ensembl:lncRNA